AGUCCUGGAGUUCAGCUAUCAGCUCCUCCUUGCUCAAGUUCUGCUUCUCCACCACCUGCAGCCCUCCAUCUUGUAGGAUCUUCUGGCAGCAGGGGUCCAGGCUGUCACUGGGAUGAGUCAUCUCCUUCCUAAUUGUGACUGACUGUGGACACAAGAGAAAAUCACCUGCUGUGCUUACAGGACCAUCAUGGGCAGCAUCUGCCCAAAUUGGAACACUGCUACAACUCUACAAAAUACCUCAGGUUACCUUUGGCCCUUUUGAUUCUAUCUUGAAUGACAGACGUAAGUUUAAUUCUCUUUACCAAAUGGCCCCCAAGGACACAUCUCUGUCACUUGCCACACUCUUUUUGUUGCUUCGUUUCAGCUGGUCCUGGGUUGGUCUGAUCCUCCCAGAUGACCACAGAGGGAUUCAGAUUCUAUCAGACUUAAGAGAAAAUAUGGAAAGCCAUGGUAUCUGCAUAGCCUUUUUGAAAAUGAUCUCUGGCACAUGGAAUGCAUUUUCCAAUGCAUUAUGGAAAACUAUGGAGGAGAUUGAGGAAUCAUCAGCCAAUGUCAUAGUUAUUUAUGGAGACAUUACUUCUGUACAAGGUUUAAUGCGACAUAUUGCACAACUGUUAGUGACAUGGAAAGUCUGGGUCUUGAGCUCUUCCUGGGAUGUUGAUACCCACUCUGAUUAUUUUAUGGUAGAGUCAUUCCAUGGGAGUCUAGUUUUUUCACACCACCAUGAAGAGAUGGUUGAGUUUAUGAAUUUUGUCCAAACAGUUAAUCCCUACAAAUACCCAGAGGACAAUUAUCUUCCUAAGUUUUGGCAUUUGUUUUUCAAGUGCUCAUUUUCUAAACUUAAUUGUCAACUUUUGGAGAACUGCCAACCCAACGCUUCUUUGGAUUUACUUCCCAGACACCUUUUUGACCCAGCCAUGAGUGAGGAAGGCUACAAUAUAUACAGUGCUGUGUAUACUGUGGCCUAUAGUGUCCAUGAGAUGAAUCUUCAACAAAUACAGACUCAACCAUAUGCCAAUGGAGAACAAAUGGCAUUUUCCCCCUGGAAGGUAAUAUCUCUUACUUACUGUGUUUUAUAAUGUCACCAAUGUGGCAUAUUCAUUGUUUCUUAAGGCAUUAAAUUGAGCAUCAUGUUUUAGACU
rnacentral:lncRNA from 1 species